rnacentral:rRNA from 1 species
AUUGAACGCUGGCGGCAGGCCUAACACAUGCAAGUCGAGCGGAUGAAGGGAGCUUGCUCCUGGAUUCAGCGGCGGACGGGUGAGUAAUGCCUAGGAAUCUGCCUGGUAGUGGGGGAUAACGUCCGGAAACGGGCGCUAAUACCGCAUACGUCCUGAUGGAGAAAGUGGGGGAUCUUCGGACCUCACGCUAUCAGAUGAGCCUAGGUCGGAUUAGCUAGUUGGUGGGGUAAAGGCCUACCAAGGCGACGAUCCGUAACUGGUCUGAGAGGAUGAUCAGUCACACUGGAACUGAGACACGGUCCAGACUCCUACGGGAGGCAGCAGUGGGGAAUAUUGGACAAUGGGCGAAAGCCUGAUCCAGCCAUGCCGCGUGUGUGAAGAAGGUCUUCGGAUUGUAAAGCACUGUAAGUUGGGAGGAAGGGCAGUGAGUUAAUACCUGGCUGUUUUGACGUUACCAACAGAAUAAGCACCGGCUAACUUCGUG